rnacentral:rRNA from 1 species
AAUGCUUGGGAACAUGCCUUGAGGUGGGGGACAACAGUUGGAAACGACUGCUAAUACCGCAUAAUGUCUACGGACCAAAGGGGGCUUCGGCUCUCGCCUUUAGAUUGGCCCAAGUGGGAUUAGCUAGUUGGUGAGGUAAUGGCUCACCAAGGCGACGAUCCCUAGCUGGUUUGAGAGGAUGAUCAGCCACACUGGGACUGAGACACGGCCCAGACUCAUACGGGAGGCAGCAGUGGGGAAUAUUGCACAAUGGGCGCAAGCCUGAUGCAGCCAUGCCGCGUGUGUGAAGAAGGCCUUCGGGUUGUAAAGCACUUUCAGUCAGGAGGAAAGGUUAGUAGUUAAUACCUGCUAGCUGUGACGUUACUGACAGAAGAAGCACCGGCUAACUCCGUGCCAGCAGCCGCGGUAAUACGGAGGGUGCGAGCGUUAAUCGGAAUUACUGGGCGUAAAGCGUACGCAGGCGGUUUGUUAAGCGAGAUGUGAAAGCCCCGGGCUCAACCUGGGAACUGCAUUUCGAACUGGCAAACUAGAGUGUGAUAGAGGGUGGUAGAAUUUCAGGUGUAGCGGUGAAAUGCGUAGAGAUCUGAAGGAAUACCGAUGGCGAAGGCAGCCACCUGGGUCAACACUGACGCUCAUGUACGAAAGCGUGGGGAGCAAACGGGAUUAGAUACCCCGGUAGUCCACGCCGUAAACGAUGUCUACUAGAAGCUCGGGUCCUCGGACUUGUUUUUCAAAGCUAACGCAUUAAGUAGACCGCCUGGGGAGUACGGCCGCAAGGUUAAAACUCAAAUGAAUUGA